GUGUGUGAGUGAUUUUUUUUUUUUCAAUAAAAAUAAAAAAUUAUGCUUCAUGAUCUGAUCAAUUAUGAAUAAGGUCCUUGUAAAUCUUUUCAGAUUUUAAUAGUAGGAAUUAUUAUUAUGCAGUGCAAUAUUAUGGUGGCUGUACAAGAUAAUAUCUCUAAAAGAAAGGGCAAAUGAAGUUCAAUAAUAUAGUAGUAAUAACUAAUAAAAGUAAUACAUCUAAAGAAGCUUUUUAGCAGAACAUUUACAUCAGAAAUCAUAGAAAGCUAUGUCUCCACAUGGUUAUUACGGCCUGUUUUUUCACUUCCCGAGUUGAUGUCCAAUAUAACAUUCAUUGAUGUAUAAUGUCCUGUGAUUGAAGCUAAUAUAUGUCCCUGGCAUAGAGAAGGGGUCAGUGAACUGGUGGGAAGUAAGAAAUUGAGGGGUCACAUGGGAUAUCAUGUAAAUCACAGGGGAGGAGCAAUAUUACCAGCAGCUUCUCGAGAAACAGAAGCAUGCUAUAGAUUUAAUGUCACAUAAUUAAGGCGUGUUUUGGCUCAGAACCUUUAAUUUUUUUAGUCAUUUUAGACUACGCUGAUUUUAUGGGUGUUCCUUAUGAGUAAGAAUUUUAUUUGUUAAACAAUAUUUGAUUGGGUUUGUAGAAAAAUGUGACCAAAUUAUAACCACCUGGGUUUCACAGCUGGAGCUUGAGCAGAAAGCCAAAACUCUGCAUGAAGAUAUAAUAAAGCAUGUAUGUAGCUUAUAAAUAUUAUUCUGUUGUGUAGUAGAAUCUUUUUUUUUUGCUAUUGUAAAGAUAGAUCUCAAAAUAUAUAAUUCAAAGUGCAAUUUCAUAGAGUCCUUCCUUAUUUGAA